AUCAGGCGAACAAUAUGCUGAACUAAUUGGAAUGAGAAGUGAUGUAGUUAGAAGGGUGACUCAUCAACAUGUCAGUUAAGUUUUUGUUCGGAAAUAUAUUGGGCUCUAUUUUUGUAGAUGCCGCAUCUUGAUUUUCAUGCCAGCGCAAGCUUUGUUGUGCCUGUUCGGGAAUUUGGUUCAUCUCUCUGCGCUAUGCUGGGCAUUCCGGCAUUCAAGGGGUGGCUCCUUUGAUAUGAUGCCUGCCGCAUCUGAUAUCUUGGUGACAGACAUCGGUCGACGCAUGACGCUUGCUGGAAACCCGUUAAAGUCGGCGGAGUAACGUGAUUUUGGUGAAUUUGAUCGGGGAACGGACAAACAGAUUCUGACCUCUGUCGAUAUGUGCGCUACGAGGACGGUGAGGAGGGGGCGAGGGCAGGAGUGUCACACACAGACACAAAUGAUCGGGGGUGGAAGGCGGUCUCACUUCACAGAUCUGUGAUCUCCCCAGCCAAUAUUAUAUCAUCCGCCUGUGGAGGUCAGCGGUCCACUUUACAUACACAGAUGAGGCCGUCUUCUUCCGGAAGUGAUAAGACAAAGCAGCGAGGAGAGUGUAGUGACACUCUCCGUCUAUGCUAUAACAACAUCCGCUGCAUUUUGACACACAGUAAUGAGUUUAAAAAAAAAAAAAACAAGGUUCAGUUUGGAAAAAAAAAGUACUGUAGUAGCACAUCUUCUGGGGUGCAGUUUCGAGCUUCGACACGGCGCCUCAGCUGAUCUCACAGGUUUUCAACAGGAUUCAGGUCUGGAGAAAGCGCAGGCCAUUCCAUUUGAGUCUACGCUUCUCCUGGCUGCUACCACAGAAUAGCACAUCCCUUCUAUUACGUGCAAUUUCCUGGGUUUUAUAAGGAUCCAGGACGUCCAACAGGCUCGUGCGACAGCUGCGAGGGAAGAGACGGUGUUGGAGGGGGCGGAUCUAAAAGGCCCGUCUGCGAACGCAAGGCAACUGUUUCCCCCUCCCGACAGACCACAUAGGCCGAUGUUUAUGCUACAACUACUCCAAACCUGAGACCUGCAGUUAGGCUGCAUGUGGAAUAAGCAGCUUUUCUUCAGCAGGCCUGUGAGCCGAGCCCCCACUGGAGAGGUGAGUGGCCGUCUCAUUGGAUGAGCCGUUAUCUCGGCCAAACACAGCACAGAUGCGGGAAGAACAUUUUAUUUUUUAUUUUUUUUAAAUAUAUAUUCACAUCUUCCGGUCGCAAUAUUAUUGGAUAAUCAGCGGUCUGAUUUCCAUGCCUGGCUGCGCUCCCAAUGACCAAAUUAUGUAAAGACAUAGGGAACGGCGCUGACAGUGUUUUUGAUCCUAAUACGCCAAGAUUUGGUCCAAGCCUGGAGGUAGGACAUCAACUGAAAGUGUUUUCAAACAACGGAUCUUUGCUGAGGAAAAAGCGAAAGGAGGACCGUAAACACAGCGAAGCAAACACACAGUGCCAGUAAAAUUCCCUCGUUUAAGGAUCGUGACCUCGUUCUUGCCUG